rnacentral:rRNA from 1 species
AUGGAUACUGCGCUGAAGCACCAUCAAUGCUACGUUGAAGCUUUGUCGCCGGCGAGCAGCACCAUGGAUGCUGAAUUGAAUGACAAAUCGAUGCUGCGUUGCAGCUCUCUCUCCGGCAAGCAGCGCCAUGUAUGCUGCGGUGAAGCUUCAUCGCCGGCGAGCAGCACCAUUGAUGAUGCAUUGAAGCACCGUAGAUGCUACGUUGAAGCUUCGUCGCCGGCAGGCAAUGCCAUGGAUGCUGCGUUGAAGCUUACUCGCCGCUCCACCAUCGAGACACCGGAGACGGCGCUCUUCACGCAGCACGACAGCGUCUCCUCCAACUCCGGCUCGAUGCUUCACCACAGCGGCGCGCGGCAGCACCCAGUGCUUCGCCGCAGCGUUGGCAGUCGCGGGUUGAAAUUCCAUCACAGCACAGACGGUAGUGCGUGGGAUUCCACUACUCUCCCUCACUACAUCCAGUCCACUGCUCUCCCCCGCGUCGAUCCCAUCCUCCUCUCCCCCACAUCGCCGCCGGCCUCACCCCCACAGGCGCCACAACCGGCGACGUCGCCUCUCACCGCCACCCCCCUCUCAUCCCCUCCCCUCGUGGCAGAUCCAGCAACAACCGUGGUGUGGGCGGGCGGCGUCAACGCGCUUCUCUCGGCCGCGGAGCUGCUCCCGCCGGGCCACCCGGACCCGUCUGUCGCCUGCUCGCCUCCCGCGGCGUCUUCUCCGAGCACACAGUCGACGGAGGACGGAGGCCGGAGUCGGUACACGCUUGUGCUGGCGUGGCCGCAGCUCCACAAGGCCAUGCUCGACCCCGCCGGCGCCGAGCCCUUCGCGCGCGCCUACGCUGGCGUCCCCGCCUACGCCUACUACGACCAGGACCGGGAGGCGAACGAGGUGAUGCUCGAUGAUGAACAUCGGCUCGAGGACAUCCUGGUCGGCGAUGCUCCUCUUCGCUAG